rnacentral:rRNA from 1 species
UACGUAGGGGGCGAGCGUUGUCCGGAAUCAUUGGGCGUAAAGCGCGUGUAGGCGGCCCGGUAAGUCCGCUGUGAAAGUCAAGGGCUCAACCCUUGGAUGCCGGUGGAUACUGCAGGGCUAGAGUCCGGAAGAGGCGAGUGGAAUUCCUGGUGUAGCGGUGAAAUGCGCAGAUAUCAGGAGGAACACCGAUGGCGAAGGCGGCUCGCUGGGACGGUACUGACGCUGAGGCGCGAAAGCGUGGGGAGCAAACAGG